UGUCGUCGCCGAACAUACUGUGGAAGA
rnacentral:sRNA from 1 species